rnacentral:lncRNA from 1 species
UUAUUGACAUGUUUAAUAUGUCUUCUUUACUUUCAUUAAUAAUUACAGACAAUAUUUGUCUAAAAUUAUUAUCUAAUAAUAUCAUUUUUCCACCAUGUAGUUUAACUUUUUUCAAUGAAUCAUCCGAUUAAAUAUCUCUCAAUUAUGUAUUAACAACUUCAAAAUAAUAUCUUUUGGUUCAUAGGUGUUUCAUCCCAUAUUAUAAGGGAAGUUUUUCUUAUAAGCGUAGCAAAUUAAGAAUCAUUUUAAUAUCACAUAUUGAGCUUUUAUUUAUUUUGAUAGGAAUUUUGAAUAUGUUAUACGACUACUAGAUAAGAGUAGAGAGGAAAUACGUAAAG